rnacentral:rRNA from 1 species
UACGGAGGGUGCAAGCGUUAAUCGGAAUUACUGGGCGUAAAGCGCACGCAGGCGGUCUGUCAAGUCGGAUGUGAAAUCCCCGGGCUCAACCUGGGAACUGCAUUCGAAACUGGCAGGCUAGAGUCUUGUAGAGGGGGGUAGAAUUCCAGGUGUAGCGGUGAAAUGCGUAGAGAUCUGGAGGAAUACCGGUGGCGAAGGCGGCCCCCUGGACAAAGACUGACGCUCAGGCGCGAAAGCUAGGGGAGCAAACAGG